rnacentral:rRNA from 1 species
AGAGUUUGAUCCUGGCUCAGGACGAACGCUGGCGGUGUGCUUAACACAUGCAAGUCGAACGGUAAGGCCCUUUCGGGGGUACACGAGUGGCGAACGGGUGAGUAACACGUGAGUAACCUGCCCUCAUCUCUGGGAUAACAGUCGGAAACGGUUGCUAAUACUGGAUAUGAGCUUGCAAGGCAUCUUGUGGGUUGGAAAGAUUUUUUUUGGUUGGGGAUGGACUCGCGGCCUAUCAGCUUGUUGGUGAGGUAGUGGCUCACCAAGGCUUCGACGGGUAGCCGGCCUGAGAGGGCGACCGGCCACAUUGGGACUGAGAUACGGCCCAAACUCCUACGGGAGGCAGCAGUGGGGAAUAUUGCACAAUGGACGGAAGUCUGAUGCAGCAACGCCGCGUGCGGGAUGACGGCCUUCGGGUUGUAAACCGCUUUCAAUUGUGACGAAGCUUUUUUGUGACGGUAGCAGUAGAAGAAGCACCGGCUAACUACGUGCCAGCAGCCGCGGUGAUACGUAGGGUGCGAGCGUUGUCCGGAUUUAUUGGGCGUAAAGAGCUUGUAGGUGGUUUGUCGCGUCGGGAGUGAAAACUCAGGGCUUAACUCUGAGCUUGCUUUCGAUACGGGCUGACUUGAGGGAGGUAGGGGAGAAUGGAAUUCCUGGUGGAGCGGUGGAAUGCGCAGAUAUCAGGAGGAACACCGGUGGCGAAGGCGGUUCUCUGGACCUUUCCUGACGCUGAGAAGCGAAAGCGUGGGGAGCGAACAGGCUUAGAUACCCUGGUAGUCCACGCCGUAAACGGUGGGUACUAGGUGUGGGGGACAUUCCACGUUCUCCGUGCCGUAGCUAACGCAUUAAGUACCCCGCCUGGGGAGUACGGCCGCAAGGCUAAAACUCAAAGGAAUUGACGGGGGCCCGCACAAGCGGCGGAGCAUGCGGAUUAAUUCGAUGCAACGCGAAGAACCUUACCAAGGCUUGACAUAUACUGGACUGCGUCAGAGAUGGCGUUUCCCUUCGGGGCUGGUAUACAGGUGGUGCAUGGUUGUCGUCAGCUCGUGUCGUGAGAUGUUGGGUUAAGUCCCGCAACGAGCGCAACCC